rnacentral:rRNA from 1 species
UACGUAGGGUGCAAGCGUUAAUCGGAAUUACUGGGCGUAAAGCGUGCGCAGGCGGUGAUGUAAGACAGGUGUGAAAUCCCCGGGCUCAACCUGGGAAUUGCAUUCGAUACUGGAUGGCUAGAGUUCGGCAGAGGGAAGUGGAAUUUCAGGUGUAGCGGUGAAAUGCGUAGAUAUCUGAAGGAACAUCAGUGGCGAAAGCGACUUCCUGGACCAGAACUGACGAUCAGGCACGAAAAGCGUGGGGAGCAAACAGGG